AGUGAACGCUGGCGGCAGGCCUAACACAUGCAAGUCGAACGGCAGCACAGUAAGAGCUUGCUCUUACGGGUGGCGAGUGGCGGACGGGUGAGGAAUACAUCGGAAUCUACUUUUUCGUGGGGGAUAACGUAGGGAAACUUACGCUAAUACCGCAUACUACCUACGGGUGAAAGCAGGAGAUCUUCGGACCUUGCGCGAUUGUAUGAGCCGAUGUCGGAUUAGCUAGUUGGCGGGGUAAAGGCCCACCAAGGCGACGAUCCGUAGCUGGUCUGAGAGGAUGAUCAGCCACACUGGAACUGAGACACGGUCCAGACUCCUACGGGAGGCAGCAGUGGGGAAUAUUGGACAAUGGGCGCAAGCCUGAUCCAGCCAUACCGCGUGGGUGAAGAAGGCCUUCGGGUUGUAAAGCCCUUUUGUUGGGAAAGAAAAGCAGCAGGUUAAUACCCCGCUGUUCUGACGGUACCCAAAGAAUAAGCACCGGCUAACUUCGUG
rnacentral:rRNA from 1 species